rnacentral:rRNA from 1 species
GUGGGGAAUUUUGGACAAUGGGCGAAAGCCUGAUCCAGCCAUGCCGCGUGCAGGAUGAAGGCCUUCGGGUUGUAAACCGCUUUUGUCAGGGAAGAAAUCCUUUGGGUUAAUACCUCGGAGGGAUGACGGUACCUGAAGAAUAAGCACCGGCUAACUACGUGCCAGCAGCCGCGGUAAUACGUAGGGUGCGAGCGUUAAUCGGAAUUACUGGGCGUAAAGCGUGCGCAGGCGGUUUUGUAAGAUCGAUGUGAAAUCCCCGGGCUCAACCUGGGAACUGCAUUGGUGACUGCAAGGCUGGAGUGCGGCAGAGGGGGAUGGAAUUCCGCGUGUAGCAGUGAAAUGCGUAGAUAUGCGGAGGAACACCGAUGGCGAAGGCAAUCCCCUGGGCCUGCACUGACGCUCAUGCACGAAAGCGUGGGGAGCAAACAGGAUUAGAUACCCUGGUAGUCC